UACGUAGGGUGCGAGCGUUGUCCGGAAUUACUGGGCGUAAAGAGCUCGUAGGUGGUUUGUCGCGUUGUCCGUGAAAACUCACAACUCAAUUGUGGGCGUGCGGGCGAUACGGGCAGACUGGAGUACUGCAGGGGAGACUGGAAUUCCUGGUGUAGCGGUGGAAUGCGCAGAUAUCAGGAGGAACACCGGUGGCGAAGGCGGUUCUCUGGGAAUAUCCUGACGCUGAGGAGCGAAAGUGUGGGGAGCGAACAGG
rnacentral:rRNA from 1 species